rnacentral:rRNA from 1 species
UACGUAGGGGGCUAGCGUUGUCCGGAUUUAUUGGGCGUAAAGAGCGUGUAGGCGGCCAGGUAGGUCUGCUGUGAAAACUCGAGGCUCAACCUCGAGACGUCGGCGGAAACCAUCUGGCUAGAGUCCGGAAGAGGAGAGUGGAAUUCCUGGUGUAGCGGUGAAAUGCGUAGAUAUCGGGAGGAACACCAGUGGCGAAGGCGACUACCUGGCCUGUUCUUGACGCUGAGGCGCGAAAGCUAGGGGAGCAAACGGG